UAUUCCUAGAGAUAGGAAGUUCCUUCGGGACACGGGAUACAGGUGGUGCAUGGUUGUCGUCAGCUCGUGUCGUGAGAUGUUGGGUUAAGUCCCGCAACGAGCGCAACCCCUAUUGUUAGUUGCCAUCAUUAAGUUGGGCACUCUAGCGAGACUGCCGGUAAUAAACCGGAGGAAGGUGGGGAUGACGUCAAAUCAUCAUGCCCCUUAUGACCUGGGCUACACACGUGCUACAAUGGUUGGUACAACGAGUCGCAAGGCAGUGAUGUCAAGCUAAUCUCUUAAAGCCAAUCUCAGUUCGGAUUGUAGGCUGCAACUCGCCUACAUGAAGUCGGAAUCGCUAGUAAUCGCGGAUCAGCACGCCGCGGUGAAUACGUUCCCGGGCCUUGUACACACCGCCCGUCACACCACGAGAGUUUGUAAUACCCAAAGCCGGUGAGCUAACCUUUUAGGAGGCAGCCGUCUAAGGUAGGAUAGAUGAUUGGGGUGAAGUCGUAACAAGGUAGCCGUAUCGGAAGGUGCGGCUGGAUCACCUCCUUU
rnacentral:rRNA from 1 species